rnacentral:rRNA from 1 species
CAGUAGCCGCGGUAAAACGUAGGUGGCAAGCGUUGUCCGGAAUUAUUGGGCGUAAAGGGCUCGCAGGCGGUUUCUUAAGUCUGAUGUGAAAGCCCCCGGCUCAACCGGGGAGGGUCAUUGGAAACUGGGAAACUUGAGUGCAGAAGAGGAGAGUGGAAUUCCACGUGUAGCGGUGAAAUGCGUAGAGAUGUGGAGGAACACCAGUGGCGAAGGCGACUCUCUGGUCUGUAACUGACGCUGAGGAGCGAAAGCGUGGGGAGCGAACAGGAUUAGAUACUCGAGUAGUCCCUGUCUCUUAUAC